rnacentral:rRNA from 1 species
GACGAACGCUGGCGGCGUGCCUAAUACAUGCAAGUAGAACGCUGAAGGAAGGAGCUUGCUCUUUCUGGAUGAGUUGCGAACGGGUGAGUAACGCGUAGGUAACCUGCCUGGUAGCGGGGGAUAACUAUUGGAAACGAUAGCUAAUACCGCAUAAAAUUGAUUAUUGCAUGAUAGUCAAUUAAAAGGUGCAACUGCACCACUACCAGAUGGACCUGCGUUGUAUUAGCUAGUUGGUGGGGUAACGGCUCACCAAGGCGACGUUACAUAGCCGACCUGAGAGGGUGGUCGGCCAAACUGGGACUGAGACACGGCCCAGAAGCCUACGGGAGGCAGCAGGAGGGAAUCUUCGGCAAAGGACGGAAGGCUGACCGAGCAACGCCGCGGGAGGGAAGAAGGUUGUCGGAUCGUAAAGCUCUGUUGUAAGAGAAGAACGAGUGUGAGAGUGGAAAGUUCACACUGUGACGGUAUCUUACCAGAAAGGGACGGCUAACUACGUG